rnacentral:rRNA from 1 species
UGAAUACGAGACGCUACGGCGUUGAAGCAGUCUAUGUCAUACUUCCAAGAAAAGCUCGCAAUGUCAUAAACAAAUAAUGCCUGUACCAUAACCGACACAGGUGGGUAGGUAGAGUAUACUAAGGGGCGCGAGAUAACUCUCUCUAAGGAACUCGGCAAAAUGACUCCGUAACUUCGGGAGAAGGAGUGCCUUAUUUAUAAGGUUGCAAUAACAAGAUCCAAGCAACUGUUUAUCAAAAACACAGGUCUCCGCUAAGUCGUAAGACGAUGUAUGGGGGCUGACGCCUGCCCAGUGCCAGAAGGUUAAAGAAGUUGGUUAGCAUUCGCGAAGCUGAUAACUGAAGCCCUGGUGAACGGCGGCCGUAACAAUAACGGUCCUAAGGUAGCGAAAUUCCUUGUCGGGUAAGCUUCGACCCGCACGAAAGGCGUAAUGAUUUGGAUACUGUCUCGGAGAGGGGCUCGGUGAAAUAGACUUGUCUGUGAAGAUGCGGACCACCUGCACCUGGACAGAAAGACCCUAUGAAGCUUUACUGUAACUUGAAAUUGAAAUUGGACUUUAUUUGCGCAGUAUAGGUGGGAGGCGUUGAGAGUAUUCUUGCGGGAAUAUUGGAGCCAUCAGUGAGAUACCACUCUUGUAAUGUUAGAUUUCUAACUUUGUAUCAUUAUCUGGUCAAAGAACAGUUUCAGGCGGGCAGUUUGACUGGGGCGGUCGCCUCCCAAACGGUAACGGAGGCGUACAAAGGUUUCCUCUGAACGGGUAGAAAUCGUAUCUAGAGUGUAAAGGCAUAAGGAAGCUUGACUGUGAGACCUACAAGUCGAGCAGGGACGAAAGUCGGUCUUAGUGAUCUGACGGUGCUGAGUGGAAAGGCCGUCACUCAACGGAUAAAAGUUACUCUAAGGAUAACAGGCUGAUCUCCCCCAAGAGUUCACAUCGACGGGGAGGUUUGGCACCUCGAUGUCGGCUCAUCACAUCCUGGGGCGGUAGUACGUCCCAAGGGUUGGGCUGUUCGCCCAUGAAAGCGGUACGCGAGCUGGGUUCAGAACGUCGUGAGACAGUUCGGUCCAUAUCCGGUGUAGGCGUUAGAAUAUUGAGAGGAGCCUUCUUUAGUACGAGAGGACCGAGAAGGACAUACCUCUGGUGUACCAGUUAUCGUGCCAACGGUAAACGCUGGGUAGCUAUGUAUGGAGAGGAUAACCGCUGAAAGCAUCUAAGUGGGAAGCCCACCUCAAGAUAAG